rnacentral:rRNA from 1 species
GACGGAGGGGGCUAGCGUUGUUCGGAAUUACUGGGCGUAAAGCGCACGUAGGCGGCCUUUCAAGUCAGAUGUGAAAGCCCCGGGCUUAACCCGGGAAUUGCAUUUGAUACUGUUAGGCUUGAGACCGGGAGAGGAUAGCGGAAUUCCCAGUGUAGAGGUGAAAUUCGUAGAUAUUGGGAAGAACACCAGUGGCGAAGGCGGCUAUCUGGACCGGUACUGACGCUGAGGUGCGAAAGCGUGGGGAGCAAACAGGG